rnacentral:lncRNA from 1 species
CCUCUCCCCUCAAACUCAAGAUGGUACCUUCGAUGCCAACUUAAGUUUGAAAACCAAAUCAUGAAUGUAUUAAGAAGCUAAUGUAGUAGACCAGAAGCUAGAGUAGCUACUUAGAAGCUGAUAUGACAGACUAGGAGUUAACAUGACAUAUUAGAAGCUGAUAUGAUGGUACUGAUAGAUUAGGAGUUGACGUGGUCGC